rnacentral:rRNA from 1 species
AGGUCCCGCCUGCCCUGUGACAGCAGUGUUUAACGGCCGCGGUAUUUUAACCGCGCGAAGGUAGCGUAAUCACUUGUCUUUUAAAUGGAGACCUGUAUGAAUGGCAUAACGAGGGUUUUACUGUCUCCUCCCCCCAGUCAAUGAAAUUGAUCUGCCCGUGCAGAAGCGGGCAUAACGACAUAAGACGAGAAGACCCUAUGGAGCUUCAGGCAAAUGAUCAAGUACACAAAAUCCUGAUAUUAACCAAACUCAAGAAAAGCAAGGACCCCUGAUCAAAGUGCCUUCGGUUGGGGCGACCAUGGAGGAAAAAGGAGCCUCCACGUGGAAAGGGAGAACCCUUAAACCAAGAGCCACACCUCUAAGCAACAGAAAAUCUGACCAAAAAUGACCCAGGCUCGAGCCUGAUCAACGAACCAAGUUACCCUAGGGAUAACAGCGCAAUCCUCUCCCAGAGUCCAUAUCGACGAGGGGGUUUACGACCUCGAUGUUGGAUCAGGACAUCCUAUUGGUGCAGCCGCUAUUAAGGGUUCGUUUGUUCAACGAUUAAUAGUCCUACGUG